rnacentral:rRNA from 1 species
UACGUAGGGGGCAAGCGUUGUCCGGAAUCAUUGGGCGUAAAGAGCGUGUAGGCGGCCCGAUAAGUCCGCUGUGAAAGUCCAGGGCUCAACCCUGGAAUGCCGGUGGAUACUGUCGAGCUAGAGUGCGGAAGAGGCGAGUGGAAUUCCUGGUGUAGCGGUGAAAUGCGCAGAUAUCAGGAGGAACACCAAUGGCGAAGGCAGCUCGCUGGGACGUGACUGACGCUGAGACGCGAAAGCGUGGGGAGCAAACAGG